rnacentral:tRNA from 1 species
GGGCGCGUAGCUCAGCUGGAUAGAGCGCCAGCCUCCGGAGCUGGAAGUCGUGGGUUCGAAUCCCGCCGUGCUCACGA